CAGUCGCCACGGUAAUACGUAGGUGGCAAGCGUUGUCCGGAAUUAUUGGGCGUAAAGGGCUCGCAGGCGGUUUCUUAAGUCUGAUGUGAAAGCCCCCGGCUCAACCGGGGAGGGUCAUUGGAAACUGGGAAACUUGAGUGCAGAAGAGGAGAGUGGAAUUCCACGUGUAGCGGUGAAAUGCGUGGAGAUGCGGAGGAACACCAGUGGCGAAGGCGACUCUCUGGUCUGUAACUGACGCUGAGGAGCGAAAGCGUGGGGAGCGAACAGGAUUAGAUACCCCUGUAGUCCCUGUCUCUUAUAC
rnacentral:rRNA from 1 species